rnacentral:tRNA from 1 species
GGGGUUGUAGCUCAUUGGUAGAGCGCUUGUCUAGCAUAUAUGAGGCACUGGGUUCGAUUGUCAGCACCA